AUGUGGACUUAUGUACCGAUGGCGAAGGCAGCCCCCUGGGAUAAGACUGACGCUCAUGUACGGAGGAAAGGGGAGCGAGCAGGAUUAGAUACCCUGGUAGUCCACGCCCUGAGCGAUGUCGACUAGUUGUCGGGCCUUUACAGGCUCGGUAACGCAGCUAACGCGUGUCUCAAUCGACCGCCUGGGGAGUACGGUCGCAAGAUUAGAGCUCGAGGGAAUUGACGGGGACCCGCACAAGCGGUGGAUGAUGUGGAUUAAUUCGAUGCAACGCGAAGAGCCUUACCUACCCUUGACAUGCCCGGAAGCUCGCAGAGAUGUGAGAAAGCCCGGAGGGGAGCCGGGACACAGGUGCUGCAUGGCUGUAAACAGCUAUCUCAAUCGUGAGAUGUUGGGUUUCUCAAUCCCGCAACGAGCGCAACCCUUGUCACUAGUUGCUACGGAGGGGCACUCUAGUGAGACUGCCGGUGACGAGCCGGAGGAAGGUGGGGAUGAAAACUCUCAAUCCUCAUGGCCCUUAUGGGUAGGGCUUCACAAAACAUACAAUCGGAAAAGUACGAGGGGCUGCCAACCCGCGAGGGGGAGCCAAUCCCAGAGAGCCGGUAAUCUCAAUCCGGAUUGCAGUCUGCAACUCGACUGCAUGUCUCAAUCGGAAUCGCUAGUGAUCGCGGAUCAGCAUGUCGCGGUGAAUAAAAUCCCGGGUCUUGUACACACCGCCAAACACACCAUGGGAGUGGGUUUCACCAGAAGCAAAUUGCCUAACCGCAAGGAGGGCGG
rnacentral:rRNA from 1 species